UACGUAGGAGACGAGCGUUGUCCGGAGUUACUGGGCGUAAAGGGUGCGCAGGCGGUUCGUUUUGUGGGUGGUGAAAUCUCCUGGCUCAACUGGGAGGGGGCCAUCCAAACGGGCGGACUUGAGGCGUGGAGAGGGACGUGGAAUUCCGGGUGGAGCGGUGAAAUGCGUAGAGAUCCGGAGGAACACCGACGGCGAAGGCAGCGUCCUGGCCACGACCUGACGCUCAGGCACGAAAGCUGGGGGAGCAAACAGG
rnacentral:rRNA from 1 species